rnacentral:rRNA from 1 species
CGUGCCUAACACAUGCAAGUCGUACGAGAAAUCCCGAGCUUGCUUGGGAGAGUAAAGUGGCGCACGGGUGAGUAACGCGUGGGUAACCCACCUUCGAAUCUGGGAUAACUCCGCGAAAGCGGUGCUAAUACCGGAUAAGACCACAUUCCGUUCGCGGAAAGAGGUAAAAGCUGACCUCUCCAUGGAAGUUAGCGUUCGAGGACGGGCCCGCGUCCUAUCAGCUUGUUGGUGGGGUAAUGGCCUACCAAGGCUGCGACGGGUAGCUGGUCUGAGAGGAUGAUCAGCCACACUGGAACUGGAACACGGUCCAGACUCCUACGGGAGGCAGCAGUGAGGAAUUUUGCGCAAUGGGGGAAACCCUGACGCAGCAACGCCGCGUGGGUGAAGAAGGCUUUCGGGUCGUAAAGCCCUGUCAGGUGGGAAGAAACUCUUCAGCACUAAUAAUGCUGAAGUCUGACGGUACCACCAGAGGAAGCACCGGCCAACUCCGUG